GGCUAUGAGGGCGAUCUGGCUGCAACAUCUGUCACCUCGUUGGUCGCCAGGGUUGAUUCGGCUGAUCUGGGUGGCUAGGCGGGUGUCCCCUUUGUCCCUCACCACUCCACCUGCGUCUCUCCCGAAGCUGGGUGCUAGGUGGAAGAGGACGACCAACCCCAAUAGAGGAGGAUCGUUUCCGUGGUCAAGGGUAUACGAGUAGCUGCGCUCCCCUGCUGGAACCUCCAAACAAGCUCUCAAGAAUAGUAAGCGUCGCUGCCUGCUGCGCAAGUGCAAGGACCAGAGUUGGAUCUCCGGUACCAAAC
rnacentral:snRNA from 1 species